UGAAGCGACACCUCUGGUUUGGAUCUUGUCACAUUUCAGAAGCUAAGCAGAGUUAGGAAAGGUCAGUCCUUGGCUAGCAAACUUCCAGGGAAACCUCAGGCGCUGCAG
rnacentral:rRNA from 1 species